AUGAAUCGCUACUGUCAGAAGUCUCAUAGGAAGGGAUGGAGGGACGAUGUGGCCCAAAGUGGUCAUGAUUCUUCGACAGAAGUACUUACUUGUCUUUCUCAAAGGAAUGAAGAGGUGGCUGAAGUUUGCAGGAAGGGGCCCUGGGCUGGGGCCAGGGGCCUGUGUUUGCUUCCCAACUGCUUCGUGAGCUCAGCAUGUGUCCUUGGGCAAGUGCUUUGCCCUCUCUGGGUCUCCUUUUGCAAAAUAAUAAACUGAAAUGUGUCUUUCAAUUCUACCCUCUAUGGAUCUAUUUUUAACAAAAAUCACACUCACUCCCACACUCUGAGCUUGCCAUAAUGACAUUUGUAGCUACACAAACUUCCCAGAAUCAGAAAGAAAUAGCAUUUGUGAAAUGUCAGCUCCUCAGAAAUGACUGGCACCCGGGGGGGUUCCAAGCCCAUCCCCAAAACCUGCUCUGUGAUGCAAACACAGGCCCGGCUGAGUUGGCGCCUUCCUGGCACUGCUGCCUUGUGGGGGCGUGCUCUUGCUGACUACGCCGCGUGUUCUCAGGAACAGAAAUAGAAUCCGUCUGUCACACAGCAAGUGCACUCCUGGGAGGAUGGGGUGUGUGUGUAUUUUUUAAUUUAAUUUUUGUCAGAUAAUUCUGUUGAAGAAAAUAAUUUCCGAAGUGGAGGGUGGGGGCCCUGAAAAGCUGUUGGCUCCCUGCAGACAAGUCCGUUAGCACAGCGUGUCGGCAUUCCUAACCGAAGACGGUGCUGAGCAUGCUCACCUUGCACCUUGCAGGGAUGUCCUGAGGCUGUGGGUAGGGGGCUCAUAGACCCUUUGUGUGUCAAACUUCACUGCAAUGCAAAGCAUUGCCAGGUUAUUAGGAUGCACAAGCCACCUUCUCCACAUCCUAGAUUCAGGAUUGCCAUGAACUAAACUAAGCUGGUAGCUCUGAGCUCAUGCAGUCCACAGAUCAGAGACUGUGAUGCUCUGAGAUCACCGGCCCCCCCCACAACCGCUUGGAGCAGGGGUUUCCUCCUCGGCAUCCCUGACAAGGCACAUGCAGCUGCCUCGUUUACCAUCUGAAGUCUACGUAGCGACCCAUGGGCUUUCUUGUGUCCUAAUCUGAUCUUGCUGUUGAAACUAUCAGGGACUUGAAAACCCCUUGAUAGGAGCUGGAAUAAGAAGUUCAAGUCCGAACUCCUUCACAUAUAAGCUGCACAAAUCUAGUGAGCUUUUUAGACCUCUCUGUGUAUCUGUGUCAUCCGUA
rnacentral:lncRNA from 1 species